rnacentral:sRNA from 1 species
ACAAAGGACUUCCUAGUGGGUGUGAAAGGCAGCGGUGGCCACAGAGGCGGCGGAGAGAUGGCCUUCAGCGGUUCCCAGGCUCCCUACCUGAGUCCAGCCGUCCCCUUUUCUGGGACUAUUCAAGGAGGUCUCCAGGACGGACUUCAGAUCACUGUCAAUGGGACCGUUCUCAGCUCCAGUGGAACGAGGUUUGCUGUGAACUUUCAGACUGGCUUCAGUGGAAAUGACAUUGCCUUCCACUUCAACCCUCGGUUUGAAGACGGAGGGUACGUGGUGUGCAACACGAGGCAGAACGGAAGCUGGGGGCCUGAGGAGAGGAAGACGCACAUGCCUUUCCAGAAGGGGAUGCCCUUUGACCUCUGCUUCCUGGUGCAGAGCUCAGAUUUCAAGGUGCACCUGCUGCUUCUUUUACUCUGAAAAUAAGAACUAGAGGAGUCAUCACGUUGCUA